GACGAACGCUGGCGGCGUGCCUAACACAUGCAAGUCGAGCGGAGUUAUCCGAGCGGAAGUUUUCGGAUGGAAGCAUGGAUAACUUAGCGGCGGACGGGUGAGUAACGCGUGGGCAAUCUGCCUUUUACAGGGGGAUAACACAGGGAAACCUGUGCUAAUACCGCAUAAAACUGCACUGUGGCAUCACAGAGUAGCCAAAGGAGCAAUCCGGUAAAAGAGGAGCCCGCGUCUGAUUAGCUAGUUGGUGAGGUAACGGCCCACCAAGGCGACGAUCAGUAGCCGAACUGAGAGGUUGAUCGGCCACAUUGGGACUGAGACACGGCCCAAACUCCUACGGGAGGCAGCAGUGGGGAAUAUUGCACAAUGGGGGAAACCCUGAUGCAGCAACGCCGCGUGAGUGAAGAAGUAUUUCGGUAUGUAAAGCUCUAUCAGCAGGGAAGAAAUUGACAGUACCUGACUAAGAAGCCCCGGCUAACUACGUGCCAGCAGCCGACGG
rnacentral:rRNA from 1 species